rnacentral:rRNA from 1 species
UUAACCGUAUAGGGGAGCCGGAGGGAAACCGAGUCUUAACCGGGCGUUAAGUUGCAGGGUAUAGACCCGAAACCCGGUGAUCUAGCCAUGGGCAGGUUGAAGGUUGGGUAACACUAACUGGAGGACCGAACCGACUAAUGUUGAAAAAUUAGCGGAUGACCUGUGGCUGGGGGUGAAAGGCCAAUCAAACCGGGAGAUAGCUGGUUCUCCCCGAAAGCUAUUUAGGUAGCGCCUCGUGAAUUCAUCUCCGGGGGUAGAGCACUGUUUCGGCUAGGGGGCCAUCCCGGCUUACCAACCCGAUGCAAACUGCGAAUACCGGAGAAUGUUAUCACGGGAGACACACGGCGGGUGCUAACGUCCGUCGUGAAGAGGGAAACAACCCAGACCGCCAGCUAAGGUCCCAAAGUCAUGGUUAAGUGGGAAACGAUGUGGGAAGGCCCAGACAGCCAGGAUGUUGGCUUAGAAGCAGCCAUCAUUUAAAGAAAGCGUAAUAGCUCACUGGUCGAGUCGGCCUGCGCGGAAGAUGUAACGGGGCUAAACCAUGCACCGAAGCUGCGGCAGCGA